UACGAAGGGGGCUAGCGUUGCUCGGAAUCACUGGGCGUAAAGCGCACGUAGGCGGAUCUUUAAGUCAGGGGUGAAAUCCCAAGGCUCAACCUUGGAACUGCCUUUGAUACUGGGGAUCUCGAGUCCGGAAGAGGUUGGUGGAACUGCGAGUGUAGAGGUGAAAUUCGUAGAUAUUCGCAAGAACACCAGUGGCCGGAGGCGGACCAACUGGUCCGGUCGU
rnacentral:rRNA from 1 species